CCAAUGCUGAAGGAUUGCCAGAAUGUUUGAUUUGCAAUGAGAAGUUAAAUAACAAGAGCAAUUUGGAGCGACAUUUUCAGCUAAAGCAUGCUAAAUUUGCUGCCGAUCACCCAGUUGGAACUGAGAGGAAAGGUGCAAUUUGAGGAACGAAAAAACAGUUUCAAGAAGUGGAUUGCAUCUCCAAACUCUACUACUGCGGCAAGUUUUGUUGCAGGCCGGGACAUAA